UCGAACGGCAGCACGGGGGCAACCCUGGUGGCGAGUGGCGAACGGGUGAGUAAUACAUCGGAACGUGUCCUGUAGUGGGGGAUAGCCCGGCGAAAGCCGGAUUAAUACCGCAUACGAUCUACGGAAGAAAGCGGGGGAUCCUUCGGGACCUCGCGCUAUAGGGGCGGCCGAUGGCAGAUUAGCUAGUUGGUGGGGUAAAGGCCUACCAAGGCGACGAUCUGUAGCUGGUCUGAGAGGACGACCAGCCACACUGGGACUGAGACACGGCCCAGACUCCUACGGGAGGCAGCAGUGGGGAAUUUUGGACAAUGGGGGAAACCCUGAUCCAGCAAUGCCGCGUGUGUGAAGAAGGCCUUCGGGUUGUAAAGCACUUUUGUCCGGAAAGAAAACCUUUGCACUAAUACUGUGGGGGGAUGACGGUACCGGAAGAAUAAGCACCGGCUAACUACGUGCCAGCAGCCGCGGUAAUACGUAGGGUGCGAGCGUUAAUCGGAAUUACUGGGCGUAAAGCGUGCGCAGGCGGUUCGUUAAGACAGAUGUGAAAUCCCCGGGCUUAACCUGGGAACUGCAUUUGUGACUGGCGAGCUAGAGUAUGGCAGAGGGGGGUAGAAUUCCACGUGUAGCAGUGAAAUGCGUAGAGAUGUGGAGGAAUACCGAUGGCGAAGGCAGCCCCCUGGGCCAAUACUGACGCUCAUGCACGAAAGCGUGGGGAGCAAACAGGAUUAGAUACCCUGGUAGUCCACGCCCUAAACGAUGUCAACUAGUUGUUGGGGAUUCAUUUCCUUAGUAACGUAGCUAACGCGUGAAGUUGACCGCCUGGGGAGUACGGUCGCAAGAUUAAAACUCAAAGGAAUUGACGGGGACCCGCACAAGCGGUGGAUGAUGUGGAUUAAUUCGAUGCAACGCGAAAAACCUUACCUACCCUUGACAUGGUCGGAACCCUGCUGAAAGGUGGGGGUGCUCGAAAGAGAACCGAUACACAGGUGCUGCAUGGCUGUCGU
rnacentral:rRNA from 1 species